rnacentral:rRNA from 1 species
UACGUAGGGGGCAAGCGUUGUCCGGAAUUAUUGGGCGUAAAGCGCGCGCAGGCGGCUUUGUAAGUCUGGUGUUUAAACCUAGGGCUCAACCCUGGGUCGCAUUGGAAACUGCAAGGCUUGAGUGCAGAAGAGGAGAGUGGAAUUCCACGUGUAGCGGUGAAAUGCGUAGAGAUGUGGCGGAACACCGAUGGCGAAGGCAGCCCCCUGGGCUGAGAUUGACGCUCAGGCACGAAAGCGUGGGGAGCAAACAGG